GACGAACGCUGGCGGCGUGCUUAACACAUGCAAGUCGAGCGGAGCGGCGAACGGGAGAGUGACGCGUGAGUAACUGCCCCCGUCUCUGGGAUAACAGUUGGAAACGGAUGCUAAUAACGGAUAGUGGGGGAUGACUCGCGUGCUAUCAGCUUGUUGGUGGGGUAGUGGCCUACCAAGGCGACGACGGGGGGCCGGGCUGAGAGGGCGAUCGGCCACAUUAGUCUGAGAUUCCGCCGUAACUCCUCCGGGAGGCAGAAGUCACGAAUGUUGCACAAUGGGUGAAACCCUGAUGCAGCGACGCCGCGUGCGGGCUGACUGCCUUCGGGUUGUACUCCGCAUUCAGCCAUGACUCGGUAGUGGCAGAAGAAGCACCGGCUAACUACGUGCCAGCAGCCGCGGUAAUAC
rnacentral:rRNA from 1 species